rnacentral:rRNA from 1 species
UACGGAGGGUGCAAGCGUUAAUCGGAAUUACUGGGCGUAAAGCGUGCGUAGGUGGUUUGUUAAGUCCGUUGUGAAAGCCCCGAGCUCAACUUGGGAAUUGCAGUGGAUACUGGCAGGCUGGAGUACGGUAGAGGAAGGUGGAAUUCCCGGUGUAGCAGUGAAAUGCGUAGAUAUCGGGAGGAACACCAGUGGCGAAGGCGGCCUUCUGGACCAGUACUGACGCUCAUGCACGAAAGCGUGGGGAGCAAACAGG